UACGAAGGGUGCUAGCGUUGUUCGGAAUUACUGGGCGUAAAGCGCGCGUAGGCGGCCAUUCAAGUCAGAGGUGAAAGCCCGGAGCUUAACUCCGGAACUGCCUUUGAAACUGUAUGGCUUGAGUGUCGGAGGGGAUAGCGGAAUUGCUAAUGUAGAGGUGAAAUUCGUAGAUAUUAGCAGGAACACCGGUGGCGAAGGCGGUCUGCUGGGCAGUUGCUGACACUGAGGCACGAAAGCCAGGGGAGCAAACGGG
rnacentral:rRNA from 1 species